AUUGAACGCUGGCGGAAUGCUUUACACAUGCAAGUCGAACGGCAGCACGGACUUCGGUCUGGUGGCGAGUGGCGAACGGGUGAGUAAUGUAUCGGAACGUGCCCAGUCGUGGGGGAUAACGUAGUGAAAAUUACGCUAAUACCGCAUACGAUCUAUGGAUGAAGGCGGGGGAUCGCAAGACCUCGCGCGAUUGGAGCGGCCGAUAUCAGAUUAGGUAGUUGGUGGGGUAAAGGCCCACCAAGCCAACGAUCUGUAGCUGGUCUGAGAGGACGACCAGCCACACUGGAACUGAGACACGGUCCAGACUCCUACGGGAGGCAGCAGUGGGGAAUUUUGGACAAUGGGCGAAAGCCUGAUCCAGCCACUCCGCGUGCAGGAUGAAGGCGCUCGGGUUGUAAACUGCUUUUGUACAGAACGAAAAGGUUUCUACUAAUACUAGGAGCUCAUGACGGUACUGUAAGAAUAAGCACCGGCUAACUACGUGCCAGCCGCCGCAGUAA
rnacentral:rRNA from 1 species